GAUGAACGCUGGCGGCGUGCCUAAUACAUGCAAGUCGAGCGAAUGGAUUAAGAGCUUGCUCUUAUGAAGUUAGCGGCGGACGGGUGAGUAACACGUGGGUAACCUGCCCAUAAGACUGGGAUAACUCCGGGAAACCGGGGCUAAUACCGGAUAACAUUUUGAACCACAUGGUUCGAAAUUGAAAGGCGGCUUCGGCCGUCACUUAUGGAUGGACCCGCGUCGCAUUCGCUAGCUGGGGAGGUAACGGCUCACCCAGGCAACGAUGCGUAGCCGACCUGAGAGGGUGAGCGGCCACACUGGGACUGGGACACGGCCCAGACUCCUACGGGAGGCAGCAGUAGGGAAUAUUGCGCAAUGGAGGAAACUCUGACGCAGCGACGCCGCGUGGGUGACGAAGGCCUUCGGGUCGUAAAGCCCUGUCGGAUGGGACGAAAAACGGUAUGGCUAAUAUCCAUGCCGCUUGACGGUACCAUUAAAGGAAGCACCGGCUAACUACGUGCCAGCCGCCGCAGUAA
rnacentral:rRNA from 1 species